rnacentral:lncRNA from 1 species
AAGAAGAAUUCUCGAGAAAAUAAAUGGCAACUGCUGUUUUCUUGUUUCCUGAGACUGUCCUAGACAGCCUAAUCAGAUGGUAACAGUUGUGUGGGGCAGGAAGACUUAAGCAGUAACCUUUAAUGUAUUGGAGAAUACUUCACGCUUGAACUUUCAAAGUUACCCAGCUGUCUACUAUGGGAAAGGACCCCCUCCAAUUCAGGGUGAAUAUUCUCCCCAGCUGCCAUGCAUUUUCCUACCCCAGGUCUUCAAAAACAUUUGGAGAGCUCCUUGUGGUCCUUGAGCAGAGGUCACUCAUUUGCCCUCAUUAUGGGUGAAACACUUCUGAUCAAAUAGCUCAUUAUACAUGGAAGUAAACAGAUGUGAAAGAAUUUUGGGAAACCCCUCAACCCACACUGAUUUAGACUUUGGAACUGUUUCAUGCUGCUCUAAAUUGUUCCUGGUAACCAGCAGUCCAAAGAAGACAUACAGCAUAUCUGGGCCCAUUGUCCUGAGGAGUGCACAUAGCACAUUUACAACAGACCAGAAUCCUGAAGAAUGUACAUACCACAUGUUUCAGAACUACAAAGGCAUUGUAGUGUGUACUAGAUAUGCUGGCAAAAUUAAGUUGAUGAAGGUAAUCAGAAAUAUAUAUAUACAUAUUUUAAUGAAAAAUAUCAGUAACUGA